GUGCUCACUUCAGCUGCACAUGUACUAAAAUUGGAAUGAUACAGAGAAGAUUAUCAUGGCUCCUGCACAAAGCUGACAUGCAGAUUCAUGAAGUGUUCCAUAUUUUU
rnacentral:snRNA from 1 species